GAUGAACGCUGACAGAAUGCUUAACACAUCAACAAUUGAUUGGUGGCGUACGGGUGAUUAACGCGUAAAGAACUUACCUCACAGUUAUGUCCAAAAUUUGGAAACGAAUGCUAAUACCUACUACUGUGAGCGAGCUUUGCGUCCCAUUAGCUAGUUGGAGAGGUAACGGCUAACCAAGGCGAUGAUGGGUAGCCGGCCUGAGAGGGUGAUCGGCAACAAGGGGACUGAGAAACGGCCCUUACGCCUACGGGAGGCAGCAGGGGGGAAUAUUGGACAAUGGACCAAAGUCUGAUCCAGCAAUUCUGUGUGAACGAUGAAGUUUUCGGAAUGUAAAGUGCUGUCAGUUGGGAAGCGGUACCAACAGAAGAAGUGACGGCUAAAUACGUGCCAGCAGCCGCGGUAAUUC
rnacentral:rRNA from 1 species